rnacentral:rRNA from 1 species
UACAGAGGGGGCAAGCGUUAUUCGGAAUUAUUGGGCGUAAAGGGCGCGUAGGCGGCCUGGCAAGUGGAAGGUGAAAUCCCUCGGCUUAACCGAGGAACUGCCCUCCAAACUGCUUGGCUUGAGACCGGGAGAGGUGAGUGGAAUUCCCAGUGUAGCGGUGAAAUGCGUAGAUAUUGGGAGGAACACCAGUGGCGAAGGCGGCUCACUGGACCGGUACUGACGCUGAGGCGCGAAAGCCAGGGGAGCGAACGGG